rnacentral:lncRNA from 1 species
UAGGCAGAUACCAGAGCAGGCAUGGUACAUGACACCAGUAUUCUCCAUACUCAUUGGAGGCAUUCUUCCAUUUGGGGCUGUCUUCAUCGAGCUCUUCUUCAUCUUGACAUCUAUAUGGCUGAACCAGUUCUAUUACAUCUUUGGCUUCCUUUUUAUCGUGUUUGUUAUCCUACUAAUCACUUGCGCAGAGAUAACAAUAGUGCUCUGCUACUUUCAGUUGUGUAGUGAAGACUACCAUUGGUGGUGGAGAUCUUACCUGACUGCUGGCUCCUCUGCUCUGUACCUUUUUCUCUACUCAAUUUUCUACUUCUUCACCAAGUUGGAAAUUACAAAGCUGGUUUCGGGCAUCCUUUACUUUGGGUACAUGGUAAUUGUUUCGUAUGCUUUCUUUGUCUUGACGGGGACAAUUGGCUUUUACGCAUGCUUCUGGUU